AGUAACCAUGGAAACCACAUGGCUAAGAUGGCAGCAUCCUAAGUUGAAGGAUUUGGGCUCUGGAGUCACCGCAUGAAGAGCUGCUCACGAAGCCACUGGCUCAUCUCAUGCUAUGGGGCUGCCUGUCAUCGCAUGAUGGUAUUGGAGCGUAUGUCUCGCUGGUGCAUGACUCACCAGCUGAAUUGCCCGCCACCGGAUGUCACAAUGAUGCUGCUAUUCAGAACAUGAAGGAUGCACCGCAGGGCUCAGAAAAGAUUUUUUUUUAUAUAAAAAGCCAUAUUUGUAGUCCAAGCCCCUCCAGGAGGAGAUGCCAUGCUCUGUGUUUAGCCUGCGAGGCACUGGAAACAAAAACCACGUUAUGCCUAAUAUCCCUGAAGCCAAAUUACAAUAUUUACCCCUGCAUGGCAA